GUGGGUAUAGUUCAGUCGGUAGAGCGCCAGAUUGUGGUUCUGGAUGUCACCGGUUCGAGUCCGGUUACCCACCCCA
rnacentral:tRNA from 2 species